rnacentral:rRNA from 1 species
UGAGUUUGAUCAUGGCUCAGAUUGAACGCUGGCGGCAGGCCUAACACAUGCAAGUCGAGCGGAAACGAGUUAUCUGAACCUUCGGGGAACGAUAACGGCGUCGAGCGGCGGACGGGUGAGUAAUGCCUAGGAAAUUGCCCCGAUGUGGGGGAUAACCAUUGGAAACGAUGGCUAAUACCGCAUAAUGCCUACGGGCCAAAGAGGGGGACCUUCGGGCCUCUCGCGUCAGGAUAUGCCUAGGUGGGAUUAGCUAGUUGGUGAGGUAAUGGCUCACCAAGGCGACGAUCCCUAGCUGGUCUGAGAGGAUGAUCAGCCACACUGGAACUGAGACACGGUCCAGACUCCUACGGGAGGCAGCAGUGGGGAAUAUUGCACAAUGGGCGCAAGCCUGAUGCAGCCAUGCCGCGUGUGUGAAGAAGGCCUUCGGGUUGUAAAGCACUUUCAGUCGUGAGGAAGGUGGUAGUGUUAAUAGCACUAUCAUUUGACGUUAGCGACAGAAGAAGCACCGGCUAACUCCGUGCCAGCAGCCGCGGUAAUACGGAGGGUGCGAGCGUUAAUCGGAAUUACUGGGCGUAAAGCGCAUGCAAGUGGUUUGUUAAGUCAGNUGUGAAAGCCCGGGGCUCAACCUCGGAAUAGCAUUUGAAACUGGCAG